GUUAUCCGGAAUUACUGGGCGUAAAGCGCUCGCAGGCGGUCUUUUACGGUUGACGUGAAAGCUCCCGGCUUAACUGGGAGAGGUCGUUGAAGACUGGAAGACUUGAGGCAAUGAGAGGGGUGUAGAAUUCCUGGUGUAGUGGUGGAAUGCGUAGAUAUCAGGAGGAAUACCAGUGGCGAAAGCGGCACCCUAGCGUUAGCCUGACGCUCAUGAGCGAAAGCGUGGGGAGCGAACGGG
rnacentral:rRNA from 1 species